AGAGUUUGAUCCUGGCUCAGAACGAACGCUGGCGGCGCGCCUAAUACAUGCAAGUCGAACGAGAAUGUGUAGCAAUACACAUGUAAAGUGGCGAACGGGUGAGGAUUACAUGGGUAACCUACCCUCGAGUGGGGAAUAACCAGCCGAAAGGUUGGCUAAUACCGCGUACGCUUCCGGAACUGCGGUUACGGAAGGAAAGCGAUACCGUGGGUAUCGCGCUCUUGGAUGGGCUCAUGCCCUAUCAGCUUGUUGGUGAGGUAACGGCUCACCAAGGCUUCGACGGGUAGCUGAUCUGAGAGGAUGAUCAGCCACACUGGCACUGCGACACGGGCCAGACUCCUACGGGAGGCAGCAGUAAGGAAUAUUGCGCAAUGGGCGAAAGCCUGACGCAGCGACGCCGCGUGGGGGAUGAAGGUCUUCGGAUUGUAAACCCCUUUCGGGAGGGAAGAUGGGAUGGGGUAACCCAUUCGGACGGUACCUCCAGAAGCAGCCACGGCCAACUUCGUGCCAGCAGCCGCGGUAAUACGAAGGUGGCAAGCGUUGUUCGGAUUCACUGGGCGUACAGGGAGCGUAGGCGGUUGGAUAAGCCCUUUGUGAAAUCUCCAGGCUUAACCUGGAAAGUGCAGAGGGGACUGUUCAGCUAGAGGAUGGGAGAGGAGCGCGGAAUUCCCGGUGUAGCGGUGAAAUGCGUAGAGAUCGGGAGGAAGGCCGGUGGCGAAGGCGGCGCUCUGGAACAUUUCUGACGCUGAGGCUCGAAAGCGUGGGGAGCAAACAGGAUUAGAUACCCUGGUAGUCCACGCCUUAAACGAUGGAUACUAAGUGUCGGCGGGUUACCGCCGGUGCCGCAGCUAACGCAGUAAGUAUCCCGCCUGGGAAGUACGGCCGCAAGGUUGAAACUCAAAGGAAUUGACGGGGGCCCGCACAAGCGGUGGAGCAUGUGGUUUGAUUCGACGCAACGCGAAGAACCUUACCUAGGCUGGACAUGCACGUAGUAGAAGGAUGAAAGUCUAACGAGGUAGCAAUACCAGCGUGCUCAGGUGCUGCAUGGCUGUCGUUACUAGAAGCAGGUGGGCCAACCGCAAGGAGGCAGCCUUCCAAGGUAUAACUCAUGAUUGGGGUGAAGUCGUAACAAGGUAACCGU
rnacentral:rRNA from 1 species